rnacentral:lncRNA from 1 species
CAUCAUUCCAUGUGGAACUGCUAGGCAGGGUAUUAAGAGCAUAGAGUGAAGACCCCAGAAGAUGCUGCUGCUUCUGCUUGCCUGUCUCUUGCCUGCCAUCAAUGGGAAGAGCUGCUUCCACUGCUGGCCACAACUGCCUGCAUUGAUAGACUAUGACCUACAGAUUCUAUGGGGCUCCCCAGGACCACCCAGAGAUCUCUCCCAAAGCAUCCACUCCCUAUUCCUGAAGAAGGAUUAUGUUUUCCCAGAACCCUGGUAUCUUGAUCAUGCCCAUAUGGAGGAAGCAACAGCCAAAUUAUUCAAUCACAUAGAUGAAGCCAUUAAGAAGUUUCGAGAUGAUAAACCAUCACUUCUGAGAGAGAUUAAUGUUCAGAAACAGGUGUUUACUAACAGGCUGAAUGAGACGUCUAAGAAGCUGAAGGAGAAGGCUUGUAACAAGUCUUGUGAACUCCACCCCACAUUGGAGGUCAUCAACUGUGCCAGCUGCAAGACACACCUUCUUACCUGCAAAGACCCAACUCUCUGCCCAGCCAGGAGCCGGAGAAUCCUCGCAUGGUUUGUGAGCCUUGGCAUUAUUCUGCUUCUGGCAGCCAUAGCUGGAAGUGGAUGGUACAUUUUCUGGCAUGGGAAGAGGAAGAAGGAAGCUGAAAAGGAACCCAGCAGUCCACUGGUCUGAACCAAGAUCACAGUUGCUGUCAGGAAGCUCAUUCAUCUCUGAGUUCCAGUAACUGUCCCUUGCCUGACACUCUCCAACAGAGGGUGGUAGCAUUCCUGUGGUCCAAAAGACUACACUCUGUCUUGUGGUUUUCCUGUGCCCAUGCCUUGUAAAUGCCUUUCAUUAAAACAUCCUCCUAUUAUUCUGAUGAACUAUAGCAUCGGCUUCCCGUGGGGUAGGGACGGACCCAGCUGACACUGAGAUCAUCUCCAUAAGGUCCUAAAGGGGCUUGUUCCCUCCUCUCACCCUCCCUCUGCUGGCCCAGCACCCUUACUCUUCUGAAACACCCUUCUCCUACUGCUCUGGUCCCAGCAGUGGUAACUCCACAGGCUCAGUCCAGUCUCACUUAAUUCCAGCACUAAAGAUGAAGGCAGAGAUGGCCUCGGUCCCUGUGCCCAGGUAUGGAACAGAAGCAGUGAGAGGCCAGCUCAUGGCCCAGGGACUAGGAGAAGAAAGGCUUCAGAAAACAGGCUCCAAGUCACAUUCAAACAGACCUCCCUGACAUUCUGGCUAAGAUGCCCAGCCUGACAACACCCAGGUCCCCAGUGAAUCUGGUGCUGCUAACAGUGAGGUUUCCCUGACUCUGCCUGUGGUAGUGGGAAUAGACAGGGGCUUUGCCUCCUCCUCCUCCAUCCCCAUGUCCCUUUCCUGUUUGCCCCCAAGGCUGCCAGAUUAAAUGGAACCUCUGAGUCCUCCAGGCUCAACUCUGUCCUUUCCACCCAACCUUGUAUCUUUCUUCACUCCUUCUCUUGGCCUGUCAUCCUUGGCUCAGGCUCAGGCUCUAUUUGAGACUAAACAGGCUCUACUCUGGCAACACUGAAGCCACUGCCAGGCCCAGAGCCUGUUCAGCAGGCCAACCACUGGGAGCUGAAAGGAAUCAUGUCUGGGACCAGAGCUAAGGACAAGAACCCAGAACCUGGACUCAAGUCCUGUCUCUGAUGCUAAGGUUUUAGUCUCCCCCUUCUGCAUCUGUUCCUCCAUCUGAGCAUGGAGGGAAGAUGUCAUGCUUCAGCCAGGUUGGUAUGCCCUGGCCUUGGAGCCCACUGAAUUCACAUUUGCCAUCCUACAUUUGUUCAUGCUUUGGGUCAAAAUGCAAUGCCCUCACCCCUUCACCUCACCCCCAGUCCACUGAAAUCUUGCCAGGACCCACAGCCCAGUUGCUGAAACAAGCCUUUUUGUCUCCACAGGCCCUUCUGGUGCCCCUCUUCCAGAGCUAGCACCCAGCCUGGAAGUGACCUGAUUCCAGUAGAACCAGCCUGCCAUAAGGGCCACAACUUGGCUACAAUGGGGGGACUGCAAGACACUGAGGCAAAAUGUAUAUAGACCAUAAAUGGCAACCAGUACAGGGAGUCCAAUGGCUGAGAGCAGCUGUGGGUCCCCAGCCAUAGGUAUCUCCAGCCCCCAGCCCAGGAAGACCCAGGAAGCACCCCCUUUCAAGGUGGUGUCUUCAACAAUGAGAAACCAUGGAAGGUGUGAAGGAAGAGAGAAGUGUUGUCAUUGAGAGGUUAGUGUUGCAGCAUAGCAGAGGUAUGAGAGGUUUGAUAGGUUCAGGCAACUCCAAGAAAUGUGAUAUGGCUGAAGGGAGAGGCCCAGGUAAGAGGACGUUGAGAGGUGGGGACCACAGAAGCACCCAGGCCCAAAGGGAAUGAAAGUAGGUGAGCAAGGAGGGCUAGGAAGAAGUAGUGGAGGGCUUUGCCAGUGGCAGGCCUGAGUCCUAGGGAAAGGUCAGGGAUCCAGACAGAGAAAGAGUAGCUAUGCCAGGUGUAUGCGGCUCCACAUGCAGGCAGCUGAGAUAUCCCCUCCAUCCAGCUCCACAGAUUAUCCCUGCCUCACAAAACAGAGGAAGGGUCCAUGGAUAUAAGGUUUUUGGGGAAAGCAUAAAGACAUAGCUAUAGCCAAAUGGUGAGAACAUCCUUAUAUCCAUUCUGAGUGACUGAGCCAGAGCCCCAGGCUGUAGUAAUGGACCUCCAGGAAACUGUGAUUCUGUGUGUCUGUAAAAGCUGGCUGCCACCUAGGAGAGAGGGAAAGCCAGGCUUUCAUGGUGGUGAUAUUGGUUUCCUAUUUAUAUUUAAAUUGGGACUUAAACCAUUACUUCAAAAGUAUCCAGAGCAACUGCUUUCUGAUGCAUGCAGCAGAAAUAGAAAAUCCCAGGUAUAAUUUAUGAGUUUGUGGGUCUGUAUGUGUAUAUCUCUUAUCAACAGAUUUUUUUAUUAUUAUUUGAGGGUAUAUUUGCAUGAAAAGCAGAUACUGAGUUCUGCUAGAGUAGAAAGAUCAAAGAAUUUUGACUCAGGUAAAUCUUGGUCAAAAUAUAGACUCUGAAGGACUUUAUGCUUCGAGGUAUGACAGAGCAGCUUACAGCAUACCAACACUACCAUCCAAGGGCAACUAAAAAUAAAAUACAUCAAAAGAGCAAAAUGAGACAAAAGUCUGUUUAAGGCACCAGGUCCCUAAUGGGUCCAAGGUCCCAGACAGAAGUAGAGUUCUCUGUGGUGACAAGCCCUUGUCUUGCAAUGAAUUUCUCCUUGGCACUUCUGGGCUUCAACAGUACAGAUUGAGAAGCUUGGGGGGCUGUCCAGUAGAUGCCUGCAAAGUGUGGAGAAGUCAUCAAAGCUUUUAACAAUAUCAUGGGCUGAAGAGAGAAAACUUGGAGCUCUACUUUGCCAAGAUAGAAUGUGAGAGGUCCAGAUGCCUGGAAGUACAGAGAUGCAGAAAAUGCAAACAAAUGCAUUGCAUCUGUUUGUCCCAUCCUCCCAGGAGCAAGCCUGUUCUUAACCAGCACAGGCCCAAAGACAAAGAAAUCAAACAGAAAAGAUCUGAAAUACAAUUUGUCAGAGAUUUGCCUGCUAGGGAAAUAAAAAUUAGAGUUGCUGACCCACAUAGGAAGACAAGUUUUAAUAAAUAGUCCAAGGUAUUGAUUGGUAAUAGCCUAGUACACCAGAGGCAGACCAAUCCUUACAAAGCAUGGAAUUCAGCCUCUGACAAAAUUAAAGAGAACUAUUCUUAUUUUAUAUCAAUGCUGGAGGAUAGAGUAAAUAUCUUCUAAAGGAAAAUAAUAUCAUCUAAAGCCACUACCAUGUUUUAUUUACAAUAUCCAGUAUUCAAACAAAUAUUAAAAUCCAUACCAAAAAUAAAAUCAAGAGAAAAAUCAAACAAUAGAAACAAACCUACAAAUGAUCAAGAUUAUCAGUUAUCCCAUAUAAGUUUUAAAAUAUGUGCGACUAAUUGCCCAAAAGUAUUCUUUGCAGCUUAUUCAAAUAAAAUUGACAUACAACAUUGUGUUAGUUUAAGGAGAUGUAAUGUAUUGAUUUGAAAUAUCUACAAAAUUGCAAAAUGAUUACCACCACAGCAUUAACUACCAUCUCUCUCACAUCAUAUAGUUACCACCUUUUUUUUUUUUUUUUUGGUGAGAAUAUUUAAAAUUUGCUCUCUUAGGAACUGUCAAGUAUAUAAUACAAUAUUAUUAACUAGCACCAUCCUGUACAUUAGAUCUCUAGAACUUAUUUGUCUUAUAACUAGAAGUUUGUACCCUUUGACCAAUAUCUCCCCCAUUUCCCCAUUCCCCAACACCAUUCUAUCCUGUUUCUAUGAGUUUGGCUCUUUUAGAUUUCCACACGUAAGUUAUAUCAUACAGUAUUUGUCUUUCUCUGUCUGACUUAUUUCCCUUAGCAUAAAGCCCUCAAGACCAUCCAUGUUUUUGGAAAUGGCAGGAUUUCCUU